AUGAUCCAUCGUUAUUUUGUUCAUACAUAUAUUUUUUUCCAUACCACAAGAUGCCAAUGUCUUUCCGUCUCCCCUUUCUCUCUGUCUUUCUCCCUUUCACCUCAUAUCCUUCUCUCCCUUCUCUUUCACCCUCUCUCUCUCAUUCUGUCCCUCCCAGUGGGUAUAGCCAUCGGGGUGACUGUACUGAUAGUACUUCUCCUUGGGGGUCUGGUCUAUGCUGCCCAAAGGAAGGCCAGUGUCACGGAGACAAUAAGCCACAUCAUGCCAAGUAUGCCUAGCUUCAGGGGUUCCCCAUAUCAAAGCUCUGACCCAUCAAAGGAGGAGGGGAGUGACCCGGGCCCAAGCAUCAAAGCGGAGCCCUGUACUGCUGUUUCUAUGGAGGAGGCAGGGGGGAAGAGUUUUGAGAACCCCGCCUAUGCAGCUGAGGGGGAUGAGAGACCUGCCCCUAACUGCAUUACUCCUGCCGUCCUUGUGCCCAAUGGGACAGCAAUGGAGAACAUUGAGAACCCGUUGUAUGCUGAGGUUCGUGUGAUAGCUGAGCCUGACCCUGAGCCCGACGCUAGCGCCACACCUGCUAAUACUUUAUCAGUCGAGGGGGCCUUUGAGAAUCCAGGUGAGGAACUGACUCCCGAGGAACCAGUCGCCGACGAGUCACUAAAGUUCGAACCCAUUCCUGAUGACAAUGCCGACGGCAGUUUCAUAAACCCAAUGUUCUCGGAUCCCACUUACCCAUCCACCCCAGCAGACUCCUUCAUUUGACCUCCACACCAGGCAAAUCAGUGGACAAAACAACAGGACUAAACACUGGACUGAACACUAGGACUAACACUGGACUAAACGGAACACUAGGACUAACACUGGACUAAACGGAACACUAGGACUAACACUGGACUAAACGGAACACUAGGACUAACACUGGACUAAACGGAACACUAGGACUAACACAAGACUAAACGGAACACUAGGACUAACACUGGACUAAACGGAACACUAGGACUAACACUGGACUAAACGGAACACUAGGACUAACACUGGACUAAACUGAACACUAGGACUAACACUGGACUAAUCAUACCUCCCCCACCUUUCCCUGGUUGGAAAAUGGGUUAUUAAAGCUAACCUACUGUCAUUUUUUCCUCAAUAUAUUUCAUGAUGCAAUGAUGUGCCAAAUAUGUGAUUUAGUGGAUUGUUAUCGGGUAAGCAUUAGAAUAAUGUCUCUGUAGGAGCUGAUCCCUCGUCAGUCUUGUGGAAUACGUAUAAUUUAAAGGUAAGAUUUGAAUGGAGAAAGCUGAUCCGAGAGCAGUACUGCCUUUCUUUUGAUCCUAUCAGUAUGGACACAUUCUCCAACGUAACACUGAGUGAACAUGUUACAUCUUCAGCCGUUGUGAGAACAAUGCAUCGUUAAAACACUCAUAAGUUCCAUUGCUAUCGGGAAACUGGGGCCCAGAGCAGUUAAAGGAAGUGAUGCGAUAGUGGGUGAACGGUAGAACGGAUGUUUCUAGAAGGAUGUGCCUUAGUUAUAAGUCUUUAUAACUAAGGCUAUAUUUUUAUGAUUACAAUCUGUGAUUAAUGAUAUUUGAUUGACUCUCGUCAUAAAGCGAAACAAACUGUUGAUGUAUAUGAUGUUGUAAAUUAUCUUGUUUGAUACUGUAUGAUUAAACCGUUUGUUGUUGAG
rnacentral:lncRNA from 13 species